rnacentral:ncRNA from 1 species
GAAAACACAGUGAUGGAGAGAGUACGCUUAUUUGAUAUUUUACAGAGAAAUCCCGGAGGCUGAGAGGGAUAAAUUAGAAUUGGCAGAAGAUGGCUCCUGAGUGGUAUGGUUGAGCAGAGAUUAGGAAAUAAUAAAGUUGCUAUAGUAAUUAAUUUCUGGUGAGAUCAUAAAGGGUCCGCCCUUUACAGCGGUAGGUGCAAUAGCACCUGAUGAGGCUUUUUGUUGUGAAGCAGAAAGUAAAUAGAAGUGGUAUCACGGGAAUUCCCGUCUUCUCU